CGAGCUUGCCUAGAUGAUUUUAGUGCUUGCACUAAAUGAAACUAGAUACAAGCGAGCGGCGGACGGGUGAGUAACACGUGGGUAACCUGCCCAAGAGACUGGGAUAACACCUGGAAACAGAUGCUAAUACCGGAUAACAACACUAGACGCAUGUCUAGAGUUUGAAAGAUGGUUCUGCUAUCACUCUUGGAUGGACCUGCGGUGCAUUAGCUAGUUGGUAAGGUAACGGCUUACCAAGGCAAUGAUGCAUAGCCGAGUUGAGAGACUGAUCGGCCACAUUGGGACUGAGACACGGCCCAAACUCCUACGGGAGGCAGCAGUAGGGAAUCUUCCACAAUGGACGAAAGUCUGAUGGAGCAACGCCGCGUGAGUGAAGAAGGGUUUCGGCUCGUAAAGCUCUGUUGGUAGUGAAGAAAGAUAGAGGUAGUAACUGGCCUUUAUUUGACGGUAAUUACUUAGAAAGUCACGGCUAACUACGUGCCAGCAGCCGCGGUAAUACGUAGGUGGCAAGCGUUGUCCGGAUUUAUUGGGCGUAAAGCGAGUGCAGGCGGUUCAAUAAGUCUGAUGUGAAAGCCUUCGGCUCAACCGGAGAAUUGCAUCCGCCACUGUUGAACUUGAGUGCGGAAGAGGAGAGUGGAACUCCAUGUGUAGCGGUGGAAUGCGUAGAUAUAUGGAAGAACACCAGUGGCGAAGGCGGCUCUCUGGUCUGCAACUGACGCUGAGGCUCGAAAGCAUGGGUAGCGAACAGGAUUAGAUACCCUGGUAGUCCAUGCCGUAAACGAUGAGUGCUAAGUGUUGGGAGGUUUCCGCCUCUCAGUGCUGCAGCUAACGCAUUAAGCACUCCGCCUGGGGAGUACGACCGCAAGGUUGAAACUCAAAGGAAUUGACGGGGGCCCGCACAAGCGGUGGAGCAUGUGGUUUAAUUCGAAGCAACGCGAAGAACCUUACCAGGUCUUGACAUCCAGUGCAAACCUAAGAGAUUAGGUGUUCCCUUCGGGGACGCUGAGACAGGUGGUGCAUGGCUGUCGUCAGCUCGUGUCGUGAGAUGUUGGGUUAAGUCCCGCAACGAGCGCAACCCUUGUCAUUAGUUGCCAUCAUUAAGUUGGGCACUCUAAUGAGACUGCCGGUGACAAACCGGAGGAAGGUGGGGAUGACGUCAAGUCAUCAUGCCCCUUAUGACCUGGGCUACACACGUGCUACAAUGGACGGUACAACGAGAAGCGAACCUGCGAAGGCAAGCGGAUCUCUUAAAGCUGUUCUCAGUUCGGACUGUAGGCUGCAACUCGCCUACACGAAGCUGGAAUCGCUAGUAAU
rnacentral:rRNA from 1 species